rnacentral:rRNA from 1 species
AGUGGCGAACGGGUGAGUAAUGCAUCGGAACGUACCGUGUAGUGGGGGAUAACGUAGCGAAAGUUACGCUAAUACCGCAUACGCCCUGAGGGGGAAAGUGGGGGACCGCAAGGCCUCACGCUAUAUGAGCGGCCGAUGUCGGAUUAGCUAGUUGGUAGGGUAAAGGCCUACCAAGGCGACGAUCCGUAGCGGGUCUGAGAGGAUGAUCCGCCACACUGGGACUGAGACACGGCCCAGACUCCUACGGGAGGCAGCAGUGGGGAAUUUUGGACAAUGGGCGCAAGCCUGAUCCAGCCAUGCCGCGUGAGUGAAGAAGGCCUUCGGGUUGUAAAGCUCUUUCAGACGGAAAGAAAUCUCUCGGGAUAACACCCUGGGGAGGAUGACGGUACCGUAAGAAGAAGCACCGGCUAACUACGUGCCAGCAGCCGCGGUAAUACGUAGGGUGCGAGCGUUAAUCGGAAUUACUGGGCGUAAAGCGUGCGCAGGCGGUGAUGUAAGACAGAUGUGAAAUCCCCGGGCUCAACCUGGGAACUGCGUUUGUGACUGCAUCACUCGAGUACGGCAGAAGGGAAGGUGGAAUUCCGCGUGUAGCAGUGAAAUGCGUAGAUAUGCGGAGGAACACCGGAUGGCGAAGGCAGCCUCCUGGGCCAGUACUGACGCUCAUGCACGAAAGCGUGG